rnacentral:rRNA from 1 species
UACGGUCAAAUCACGCUGAAAACACCGGUUCUCGUUCGAUCACCGAAGUUAAGCAUCGUAGAGCCAGGUCAGUACUUAGAUGGGGGACCGCUUGGGAACACCUGGUACUGUAAG